AUUUUAUAAAGUGAAAAAUGAUCCAGAGAAUACUGUACCUCCAAUGGUAACAAAUAAUUAUCUUGUCAAGUAGAGCAACUUGAAUUGAAACAACAAAGUCAUUCUAGACUAAAUCUGAAUACUGAUUAAUAGAGCUCCCCAUUCAAUCUACACAAUCUAUAAAUUACACCCUAAUAAACAUCAACUACAUGUUCACACGCAUAAUUUUAACACACAUCAAAUCAAACCCAGGGUUGAUAUAAAACAACAUAUGAUUGAAACAUCAGAAUUUUUCAGAAGCCAGAUAUUUAAAUAAAUCUUCCUCCAUUCCCAAUUCAAAUCCCUUAAUUUUGCUACUAAAACCAAAUUUAUUUGACAAUUCCCCCCCCCCCCCCCA